CAUUACACCGUUUGGAGGGAACUGGAAAAUGGAGUUGGCACAAAGUGAAAGUAGAUGGCAGAUCUUGACAGAUUCCACCAGAAGACCAGUGACUUUCAAGAAUA